GGGUGUCCGCCGCCACUGCGGCGAACAGGCAUUGCGCUGGUCGGGCCGCCGCG
rnacentral:ncRNA from 12 species